UGGGGAAUCUUGCGCAAUGGGCGAAAGCCUGACGCAGCGACGCCGCGUGGGGGAUGAAGCCCUUCGGGGUGUAAACCCCUUUCGACCCGGACGAAUGGCCCGCAAGGGAGUUGACGGUACGGGUAGAAGAAGCCCCGGCUAACUACGUGCCAGCAGCCGCGGUAAAACGUAGGGGGCCAGCGUUGCUCGGAAUUACUGGGCGUAAAGGGUCCGUAGGCGGUGUGGCAAGUCGGGAGUGAAAUCUCAUGGCUUAACUGUGAGACUGCUUCCGAAACUGCUGUGCUCGAGUGCGGGAGAGGCGAGUGGAAUUGCCGGUGUAGCGGUGAAAUGCGUAGAUAUCGGCAGGAACACCCGUGGCGAAGGCGGCUCGCUGGACCGCAACUGACGCUGAGGGACGAAAGCUAGGGGAGCAAACAGGAUUAGAUACCCUGGUAGUCCUAGCCCUAAACCAUCAGGACUUGGCGUGCAUCCCGUUUGGGGUGCGUGCCGGAGCUAACGCGUUAAGUCCUGCGCCUGGGGAGUACGGUCGCAAGGCUG
rnacentral:rRNA from 1 species